GAAUUGACGGGGGCCCGCACAAGCAGUGGAGUAUGUGGUUUAAUUCGAAGCAACGCGAAGAACCUUACCAGGUCUUGACAUCCAACGACCGCCUAAGAGAUUAGGCUUUCCUUCGGGACGUUGAGACAGGUGGUGCAUGGNUGUCGUCAGCUCGUGUCGUGAGAUGUUGGGUUAAGUCCCGCAACGAGCGCAACCCUUAUUACUAGUUACUACGCAAGAGGACUCUAGUGAGACUGCCGUUGACAAAACGGA
rnacentral:rRNA from 1 species